rnacentral:rRNA from 1 species
AUGCCGGCGGGCACAUCUCGGAGAAAACCUAGCAAGGUGCCGAUUUCACCUAUCUGGUUCUCCGGCCCCGAUAUCAAUCUGUUCAUCCUCGUCAAGCAGAUCGUCGUCCACAUGUGCGAUGCCAUCCAAGAUGGCCGCUGCCCUGCUGCACUCCAGCUGCCGUCGAGACAAGGUAUACACCAUUUUAUUUGGAUGAUAGGCAACCAGAACAAGGAUAAGAGAUAUCAACGCCGUAUGCGCAGAGUUGACACAAAAUUCAGUUCAGUCGUUCAAGGACCAGUCGUAGUCCUGGUAGCAAUGCUGAUUGGUCCGCCAUUGUUGAGGAGAUGCGUCAGGAGCCUGGCUUUGGUUGUGUCCAGGUAG